rnacentral:rRNA from 1 species
GACGAACGCUGGCGGCGUGCCUAAUACAUGCCAGUAGAACGCUGAAGGAGGAGCUUGCUCUUCUGGAUGAGUUGCGAACGGGUGAGUAACGCGUAGGUAACCUGCCUGGUAGCGGGGGAUAACUAUUGGAAACGAUAGCUAAUACCGCAUAACAGUAGAUGUUGCAUGACAUUUACUUAAAAGUUGCAAUUGCAUCACUACCAGAUGGACCUGCGUUGUAUUAGCUAGUUGGUGGGGUAACGGCUCACCAAGGCGACGAUACAUAGCCGACCUGAGAGGGUGAUCGGCCACACUGGGACUGAGACACGGCCCAGACUCCUACGGGAGGCAGCAGUAGGGAAUCUUCGGCAAUGGACGGAAGUCUGACCGAGCAACGCCGCGUGAGUGAAGAAGGUUUUCGGAUCGUAAAGCUCUGUUGUAAGAGAAGAACGAGUGUGAGAGUGGAAAGUUCACACUGUGACGGUAUCUUACCAGAAAGGGACGGCUAACUACGUG